AGAGUUUGAUCACGGCUCAGAUUGAACGCUGGCGGCAGGCCUAACACAUGCAAGUCGAACGGUAACAGGAAACAGCUUGCUGUUUCGCUGACGAGUGGCGGACGGGUGAGUAAUGUCUGGGAAACUGCCUGAUGGAGGGGGAUAACUACUGGAAACGGUAGCUAAUACCGCAUAACGUCGCAAGACCAAAGAGGGGGACCUUCGGGCCUCUUGCCAUCAGAUGUGCCCAGAUGGGAUUAGCUAGUAGGUGGGGUAACGGCUCACCUAGGCGACGAUCCCUAGCUGGUCUGAGAGGAUGACCAGCCACACUGGAACUGAGACACGGUCCAGACUCCUACGGGAGGCAGCAGUGGGGAAUAUUGCACAAUGGGCGCAAGCCUGAUGCAGCCAUGCCGCGUGUAUGAAGAAGGCCUUCGGGUUGUAAAGUACUUUCAGCGGGGAGGAAGGGAGUAAAGUUAAUACCUUUGCUCAUUGACGUUACCCGCAGAAGAAGCACCGGCUAACUCCGUGCCAGCAGCCGCGGUAAUACGGAGGGUGCAAGCGUUAAUCGGAAUUACUGGGCGUAAAGCGCACGCAGGCGGUUUGUUAAGUCAGAUGUGAAAUCCCCGGGCUCAACCUGGGAACUGCAUCUGAUACUGGCAAGCUUGAGUCUCGUAGAGGGGGGUAGAAUUCCAGGUGUAGCGGUGAAAUGCGUAGAGAUCUGGAGGAAUACCGGUGGCGAAGGCGGCCCCCUGGACGAAGACUGACGCUCAGGUGCGAAAGCGUGGGGAGCAAACAGGAUUAGAUACCCUGGUAGUCCACGCCGUAAACGAUGUCGACUUGGAGGUUGUGCCCUUGAGGCGUGGCUUCCGGAGCUAACGCGUUAAGUCGACCGCCUGGGGAGUACGGCCGCAAGGUUAAAACUCAAAUGAAUUGACGGGGGCCCGCGCAAGCGGUGGAGCAUGUGGUUUAAUUCGAUGCAACGCGAAGAACCUUACCUGGUCUUGACAUCCACGGAAGUUUUCAGAGAUGAGAAUGUGCCUUCGGGAACCGUGAGACAGGUGCUGCAUGGCUGUCGUCAGCUCGUGUUGUGAAAUGUUGGGUUAAGUCCCGCAACGAGCGCAACCCUUAUCCUUUGUUGCCAGCGGUCCGGCCGGGAACUCAAAGGAGACUGCCAGUGACAAACCGGAGGAAGGUGGGGAUGACGUCAAGUCAUCAUGGCCCUUACGGCCAGGGCUACACACGUGCUACAAUGGUCGGUACAAAGGGUUGCCAAGCCGCGAGGUGGAGCUAAUCCCAUAAAACCGAUCGUAGUCCGGAUCGCAGUCUGCAACUCGACUCCAUGAAGUCGGAAUCGCUAGUAAUCGUGGAUCAGAAUGCCACGGUGAAUACGUUCCC
rnacentral:rRNA from 1 species